rnacentral:rRNA from 1 species
UACAGAGGGGGCAAGCGUUAUUCGGAAUUAUUGGGCGUAAAGGGCGCGUAGGCGGCUUUUCAAGUGACGGGUGAAAUCCCUCGGCUUAACCGAGGAACUGCCUGUCAGACUGGAAGGCUUGAGACCGGGAGAGGUGAGUGGAACUCCGAGUGUAGAGGUGAAAUUCGUAGAUAUUCGGAAGAACACCAGUGGCGAAGGCGGCUCACUGGCCCGGUACUGACACUGAGACACGAAGGCCAGGGGAGCAAACGGG